AUGACCACAUGGCACCGUACUACCGUUCGUUGUUUGGCUAAAUUAACAACUAUUUCAGGGAGCGUGUCAAUUCAUUGCGGAUUCAGGGAGGAAACAAGCAAGUAUGCGGAUGUUCGUGAAUUUCAAUGAUGAUGAUGCUGGUGAUGCCCUGUCCUGAUGGUAACCGAGGAUGUUGAAAUGGUUUCGAGAUUUCAUCCAUCAUGCAUUACUGAACUGUACCCCAAGAACGAGUGGAAACCGAUGGUGGCCGAACUGCUUGAUCAUUCCAUUUAAUCCAUUCCUUAGAAAAUUUACGGGAUUGUUUCCGUUAUUGUGUGGCUAAUGAUCCGUUUUGGCUGGACGUGGGGGAGAAAAUGCAAUGUCCAAAAAGCGCAAACUUUUCUACGGAACAUUACUCAAUCCUCCCCUCAUGGAUUUGGGUCAGUCUGUUCAGUCUCACUCAUGUCUUCGGGCAUUCUUUCUCACUUCCAAACAAUUCCCACCCGAUAUCAGUGGCAUGACCGAUCUGGACAUUGGACAAGAGCCCUUGAGAUAAUUCUCAGUUUCCCUGUCGAGAAAGUCCCUUCAAUGGGCUAUGAAGAAACUCUCGAGAUAUUCGAUGUUCCUGGUGGAAGAUUGUCAUCAAUUGUGAUGGAGCUUGAAUAGACAGAUGAGGGCUCUUUAUUCACCCAACUCUCCCUGUCUGGGUGUGCGUUGUGUACAAAAGGGGCCAAUUUGUGAAAAAUUCGUUUCUUUGUCUACCUUUAUCAGUACGAGAGCAUUGGGGAGAACAAUCAUAGAGGACCCCGAUCAUACAAUAUGAUGGACGUUUUUUGGUUGAAAAGGGGGCAACAACACGAACAGAAUGAGCAACACAACUCAAAAGUGCCGGUAAGCCAUGUGCGAAUUUCGUGUUUGGGAGAAGCUCACGACCCAAUCACGAUGAGCGACCCGGAUCCAAGAAAUGGCCCAUCUCUCACAAGAGAGUUCUAAGACAUUCAAGGGACCUGAAACUACUAACAAGUACCUUCAAGUACCCGUUAAGUGUCUGUGAAUUGUUGCUAGUGUAUUGGAACUGUCGUGAUUGUUUCUUGACACGAACAGUUUCCUCCUGAAUGGGCUUUUUCAUGGCAGGAAAGUUGCCUCGUUACAUACAACAGAAGAAAAGUGUUAGUGAAAGAAAAUAAUCGAUGACACUCCCGUGAAAGGGUGCAUCAAGUCCAUUAAUAGAACCCAAAGUCAUUCCAACAACGGGCCAACCCAAUCGCAAUGGGCUCACACUUAGAAUUUGCUUUUGCUUUGCAUUCAACCGAGAAGUCAGAGAGAGGCUUUUAAAGAUUAGGCCGCCGCUAGCGAGCCACACUGGAGAGUGUAAUUAAAAGGAAAUUUGACAUGCAAAUCACUUGCCAAAUCAUAAAGUGAGGGGCGGAAUUCAUGCAACACCCCGAAUUGGCAAUUUGUCGCGGUCUUUUAUUGUCCAAGAUGGGCAUUUGAAAGGCUUUUAGACUGCCGGGUCAUGGAUGAGAUUGUGAAGAUGAUAAUCAAGAAGAAGAAGCGAGCAACACGUUCUUGGCUUGGGUGUGUCGUUGAGAUCGGCAAAGUCGCCUCCAGGGGGAGUGUCACUCAUUUCGAGUUGGUUAUGCUCAUCUCGUUGGAGGUGUUGAUCUAAUCGGGCCACAAAGUGUGCACUGCAGUAAAACCCUAAAGACAAGGUAAAUACCAAAUGAACGGCCUGUCAAUGAGGUUUCCUCACAGACAGGGAAAAUUGGCCAAUCAUUUCGUUAGUCGCAUCAAAACUAUGUUGAAUGUGAAGGGUAUUCAUCAAAUGGCUUGGGUGGGCAUCGCGUAUCAGAAUGCUGAUUUUCGUCUUGGAUAGGUGUAUUGAUUUCAGAUAUUCAAUAUUUAGUGCGAACAAACCAUCAAUUCCCUCGUGUAAAGACAACAGAUAUGUUCCAGAGUUAAUCAUCAUUCUCACGCCCACUCACCAUUGGUUGGUUUCUAAUCAUCCUAGAAACCAGCAUCCCCGAAACUUCGAUUGAAUCGAUUUCUCUUAUUUUUUUUCAAAUCUCGGAUUGGUUAUUUGCAAAAAACGAAACACUUUUAUGUUUACCCCAAAUCUAAUUGCACGAUGUAUAAUUGCGAUAAUUUUUCCUCUCCCAACAACAACGGACAUGAUACACGA